rnacentral:rRNA from 1 species
UACAGAGGUCUCGAGCGUUGUUCGGAUUCAUUGGGCGUAAAGGGCGCGUAGGCGGCGGGGUAAGUCUGGUGUGAAAAUCUCGGAGCUCAACUCCGAAAUUGCACUGGAUACUGCUCUGCUAGAGGGCUGGAGAGGAGAUCGGAAUUCACGGUGUAGCAGUGAAAUGCGUAGAUAUCGCGAGGAAGACCAGUGGCGAAGGCGGGUCUCUGGACAGUUCCUGACGCUGAGGCACGAAGGCCAGGGGAGCAAACGGG